rnacentral:lncRNA from 1 species
AAGGACAAUUAACAGUGCCAUGAAUUACUGAGGACAGUUAUGAUUGUGAAAAGUGAAUUCUGAUGGCUACCAGCACUGGAAUGGGAAUUGUACAUUUUCAUUUUUCAUAUAGAGUCAACUACAAUAAUUUUUCUACAGUAUGAAUGGCCUAAUGAGAACAUGAAGCUGAGCAGGCAGAACCUGGAAAAUAGGUGUUUUAUCCAGUUCAUCACUACAAGUAAUCCCUUUAACAAGAAACUCCUCCCUAGACCUUGAAGAUCAGAUGUGAUUCAGUAAGGUGAAUAUUUAUUUAAUACCAUACAAUUCCACCUGGGAAUGAAGUCCA